UGGGGAAUAUUGCACAAUGGAGGGAACUCUGAUGCAGCGACGCCGCGUGAACGAAGAAGGCUUUCGAGUCGUAAAGUUCUUUUAUAUGGGAAGAUAAUGACGGUACCAUAAGAAAAAGCCCCGGCUAACUACGUGCCAGCAGCCGCGGUAAUACGUAGGGGGCUAGCGUUGUCCGGAAUCACUGGGCGUAAAGGGUUCGCAGGCGGAAAUGCAAGUCAGGUGUAAAAGGCAGUAGCUUAACUACUGUAAGCAUUUGAAACUGCAUAUCUUGAGAAGAGUAGAGGUAAGUGGAAUUUUUAGUGUAGCGGUGAAAUGCGUAGAUAUUAAAAAGAAUACCGGUGGCGAAGGCGACUUGCUGGGCUCAUUCUGACGCUGAGGAACGAAAGCGUGGGUAGCAAACAGG
rnacentral:rRNA from 1 species